rnacentral:rRNA from 1 species
AUUGAACGCUGGCGGCAUGCCUUACACAUGCAAGUCGAACGGUAACGGGCCUUCGGGUGCCGACGAGUGGCGAACGGGUGAGUAAUACAUCGGAACGUGCCCGAUCGUGGGGGAUAACGAGGCGAAAGCUUUGCUAAUACCGCAUACGAUCUACGGAUGAAAGCAGGGGACCGCAAGGCCUUGCGCGGACGGAGCGGCCGAUGACAGAUUAGGUAGUUGGUGGGAUAAAAGCUUACCAAGCCGACGAUCUGUAGCUGGUCUGAGAGGAUGAUCAGCCACACUGGGACUGAGACACGGCCCAGACUCCUACGGGAGGCAGCAGUGGGGAAUUUUGGACAAUGGGCGCAAGCCUGAUCCAGCCAUGCCGCGUGCAGGAUGAAGGCCUUCGGGUUGUAAACUGCUUUUGUACGGAACGAAAAGCCUUCUUUUAAUACAGGAGGGUCAUGACGGUACCGUAAGAAUAAGCACCGGCUAACUACGUG